rnacentral:rRNA from 1 species
GCCUAGGGAGGCAGCAGUGGGGAAUAUUGGGCAAUGGGCGCAAGCCUGACCCAGCAACGCCGCGUGAAGGAAGAAGGCUUUCGGGUUGUAAACUUCUUUUCUCAGGGACGAAGCAAGUGACGGUACCUGAGGAAUAAGCCACGGCUAACUACGUGCCAGCAGCCGCGGUAAUACGUAGGUGGCAAGCGUUAUCCGGAUUUACUGGGUGUAAAGGGCGUGUAGGCGGGGAGGCAAGUCAGAUGUGAAAACCACGGGCUCAACCUGGGGCCUGCAUUUGAAACUGUGUUUCUUGAGUACUGGAGAGG